AGAGUUUGAUCCUGGCUCAGAUUGAACGCUGGCGGAAUGCUUUACACAUGCAAGUCGAACGAUGAAGUCUAGCUUGCUAGACGGAUUAGUGGCGAACGGGUGAGUAAUAUAUCGGAACGUAUCCAUUAAUGGGGGAUAACUAGUCGAAAGAUUGGCUAAUACCGCAUACGUCCUACGGGAGAAAGCUAGGGACCUUCGGGCCUGGCGUUAAUGGAGCGGCCGAUAUCUGAUUAGCUAGUUGGUGAGGUAAAGGCUCACCAAGGCGACGAUCAGUAGCUGGUCUGAGAGGACGACCAGCCACACUGGAACUGAGACACGGUCCAGACUCCUACGGGAGGCAGCAGUGGGGAAUUUUGGACAAUGGGCGCAAGCCUGAUCCAGCCAUUCCGCGUGAGUGAAAAAGGCCUUCGGGUUGUAAAGCUCUUUCGCAAGGGAAGAAAACUUACCCUCUAACAUAGGGUGAGGAUGACGGUACCUUGAUAAGAAGCACCGGCUAACUACGUGCCAGCAGCCGCGGUAAUACGUAGGGUGCGAGCGUUAAUCGGAAUUACUGGGCGUAAAGCGUGCGCAGGCUGUUUUGUAAGUCAGAUGUGAAAUCCCUGGGCUCAACCUAGGACCUGCGUUUGAAACUACAAGACUAGAAUAUGUCAGAGGGGGGUAGAAUUCCACGUGUAGCAGUGAAAUGCGUAGAUAUCGUGAGGAUCACCAGAGGCGAAGGCGACUACCUGGACAAUUACUGACGCUCAGGCACGAA
rnacentral:rRNA from 1 species